rnacentral:rRNA from 1 species
UACAGAGGUGGCAAGCGUUGUUCGGAAUUACUGGGCGUAAAGGGCGAGUAGGCGGCCUUCUAAGUCGGACGUGAAAUCCCCAGGCUUAACUUGGGAACUGCGUCCGAUACUGGAAGGCUUGAGUGCGGGAGAGGGAUGUGGAAUUCCAGGUGUAGCGGUGAAAUGCGUAGAUAUCUGGAGGAACACCGGUGGCGAAGGCGGCAUCCUGGACCGACACUGACGCUGAAUCGCGAAAGCUAGGGGAGCAAACGGG